rnacentral:lncRNA from 1 species
ACUUUAGUUCAAUAUCCAAGUCUUAUCAUUCCUAUCUGGUUCUCCUAGACAAUAAUAGAUGUGGUACUCACUCCUUCCACAUAUUGUUUUAUUUGGCGAAGACAAUAGUAUCCGACUCCAGAACAUCAGAGCUGAGGAACUAACGGAGGUUUAGCGAUCUCCUCAACCGGGAAGCCACUCCCUGAGGAGGAGGGGGAGGCGGAAUAAGAAGAUCGAGGAUGGUGACUCUCUCUUUUGGAGUCAACGAAACACCUCUAAUAAGAUCCAACGCCAUGAUGUGCACGUUCGUCCUUUGCCUGUGCUUACUGUAAACCAGCCCUGCAGCAGUACCUCCAGCUAUCAGAACCUGUCAUAACAAAAACACCAGAAAACUAAACGUCUCCUUAAGGAGUCUUUUAAGUUGUUAAUUGACCGCUGAAACUGACCGGAGUUAGCCACAAUGCUGCUGUCUGCAUAUCGAAUUUGGGAGCAUAAAGCACCGUCUCUCCAAACUCAUCCUCCAGCUUACUGUAGAUCUCUUUGUCGGUUUUUCCAGCUCCUAUCUCAUCACGGAUCAGCUGCAAAACUCUGGUGUAUUAGAGGGGCAGACAUCAAAACUAAUAAUAUCCCUUUGGAAAGUUUUGAAGAGAAACACACUCACCUGUCUAAGGAGAAUAGCUACAUCUGCCUGUGAGUCUUCAAUGGACUGACUCCCACACUCAGUGCAGCGAACGUUGUGGCUGAUGUUUCUGGCUCGAGCGUCCAGCAUCUGAGCCUUCUUCAGAUCCUCGUCUCUUUUCUCCAUUUCCCCUGAAAAUUUUCAUGGUAUCCAAUAUAGUAAGUUGUCACACACGCAUUUCGUCGAACAUGUUGUGGACACACCAUAUCAAAAACCAGAUAAUGUAACGAACUCAAAAGUGAAUGAUGAAGGAAGAACCUGGGUGGAGAGGAAGCGAGAGAGAUUUAAAAAAACCCGCUUAGUCAGCCCUCAGCUCAGAUGAUCAACCUGAAGCUGAAAAAUGAAACCUUUCGAAUCUCCGAGCAACAAGGAAGAUGCCGGUUGAUCGAGAAAGGCGUGUGAAGGAGCGUUGAAGCUUCAAACUGCAACGUGUGUCGUAAAGACGACCUUCGCGUGUGUGAGUUAUGGCCCGAGAGCAUAUAAACAAGGAUAGGGCCCUUCCAUCCAUAUUGAAAUUGGGCCUUGUAGUUGCACGAAAGUAGACACACAAAAACAGUCCUUGGAAGUCAAACAUGAGAGGAAGGAACCAAAACAUACAACUGGAGCCAAGAAGGAAACAUUUGUAAAACAACAAUGACACUGUAUAAUAUAUCAAGCAAAUACGCAUUCUACGUAUAGGAGAAAGUGAGACUGAACACAAACGCACCACACCGAUAACUCGUUCCUCUAAACAGAAAUGUUGCUGUGUUGGUGUGUUAAAGUGUUACUCUUCUUCUUCUUCUUCAUCACUCAUCUUGUGUACUUGGGGUGUGGAGCCAUGGGUGGAUGGAAGCUAGAGAAGCUUUAACUCUCUCUCAGGUGUACCCUAACACUAGCAAAAUGUUAUCAUCUCUCUCUUUGAACAUACUGACGCCAGAGCCCCAAGGGUGCCGAUAUUUUGGCCGUCUUUCUAAAUCUUUUUGCGAUGUAGGCCUCGAUUCUGUUCUAUUAAGGAGGCGUCUGGUCAUUACCUGUGAAGGCUGCACAUUCAUUCAGGCAUAUCAUAACUUCCAUCUUUGCUUUUAUGCGAAGACUGAGCAAACUCAACAGCAGAGGGAAGGCAAUUAGUCUAUUUUCUAUACACAGAAUUUCUCAACAACACACACGUCUAAUAUGUUUCUAAAUGCCUUUGACAGACCUAGAGCUAAUAAGAGUUUCUUCUCCACAAGACAUGUUUGAAACAGGCACAAGCACACAAACUAUAAUACUAUAUAAUUCAAUAUGGGACUUGAUCCUCCAAGAACAGAUAGAGAAGAGACAUACAUGCCCGCUAGGAUCAGCAGUCAGCGUUAUCUCCCUGCAGGGAAGUAUAAUUCACCAAGUUGCGUUUUGACUAUGUGGACAGGAAACGCUGGGACUUGAAAGUAUUUGCCGUCGUCCUGAUUCUGAAGAGUGAAUUUGUUUUGGUCAUGAAUUCUGAAGAGUGAAUUUGUCUAACUAGAUUGCAUAUAACUGAACCAAGCCCAAGGUGCGAAGCAACUAAGUGUUAGUUUCUUUGGUGUGAAUAAUGUGGAAUUAAGACCUAUAAAGUGCAAAAGGGCUUUAGACAAUGUAACCAAACCUAAAUGCUUAAGCAGUAAAGUCCCUUUCUUAUAUGAGAUCACAGGGCCUCAAUUUCUUAAAGCUCACUUCAACUUUCAGUAGAAUGGAGAGAGUGAAGGUUUGUUUUAUUCAUAACCUCUGAAGCAAGAAAUACAAAUACAGGGAAUAUUUUGCGAUCUGCGUACAUACAAAAACUUAGAAAUUGGGACUACAAGAUGGACUUUAGUUCAAUAUCCAAGUCUUAUCAUUCCUAUCUGGUUCUCCUAGACAAUAAUAGAUGUGGUACUCACUCCUUCCACAUAUUGUUUUAUUUGGCGAAGACAAUAGUAUCCGACUCCAGAACAUCAGAGCUGAGGAACUAACGGAGGUUUAGCGAUCUCCUCAACCGGGAAGCCACUCCCUGAGGAGGAGGGGGAGGCGGAAUAAGAAGAUCGAGGAUGGUGACUCUCUCUUUUGGAGUCAACGAAACACCUCUAAUAAGAUCCAACGCCAUGAUGUGCACGUUCGUCCUUUGCCUGUGCUUACUGUAAACCAGCCCUGCAGCAGUACCUCCAGCUAUCAGAACCUGUCAUAACAAAAACACCAGAAAACUAAACGUCUCCUUAAGGAGUCUUUUAAGUUGUUAAUUGACCGCUGAAACUGACCGGAGUUAGCCACAAUGCAGCUGUCUGCAUAUCAAAUUUGGGAGCAUAAAGAACAGUCUCUCCAAACUCAUCCUCCAGCUUACUGUAGAUCUCUUUGUCGGUUUUUCCAGCUCCAAUCUCAUCGCGUAUCAG